GUUGCGGAGGGGCGGCGGUGAGCCGGGCGACGCGCAAGCGAUGAGAAGCGGAGAACGGUGCCGCUCCCCGCUUGGCUGCGGGCACUCCGACUUUGUGAGACGGAGCUGGAGUUCCUUGAGCGGCACGAUAACGUGGGCGCGUCUCGAGGGCCCGCUGCCGUUUGCUCUGGUUACUGUUUUACCGGUGAGCCGCGGGUCAGCGUGACUGCCCUUAGAGCGAGCCUGGGCCCCACAGCGUGAAACUGCUCCUCUCAGCACUUUCUCUGAGGCAUGAUGAGAAAGGACUUCAGAAAGCAGUACUGCUGCUGCCAGGGGAGCCCUUUCCAGAAUGGAAAAAAAAGGAAAAUGCAGAUGGACUCUGCCUUCAUUCUUUAUACUUCAGAUAGCUGGAAAGAACUGGAUCCUCACCAAAUAACAGGUAUGGCUGUAAGUGACUUUUUUUUUUUUUUUGCACAAAUUGGAGCUUUGACGUUCUAGGAAUCGGUGGAACAAACAAGUCUAAAUUGUUACAGAAGCACAAGAGAGCAUUUGUCACUGAUACUGACCUUCACUCUAUAACCCAGGGAAUAUAAAAUAUGGUAUGUAGCCAUGGACUUGAAACAGUAAUGGCAGAUGGAUCACCUUGGCAGUGCAGUAGGUUAUGCUGUCCUUGCUGACAAGGACAGCCUUGUAGUGCAGGAAUAAAAUGUUCUGUCCAUGACCUA